AGCGAACGCUGGCGGCAGGCCUAACACAUGCAAGUCGAACGAACCUUUCGGGGUUAGUGGCGGACGGGUGAGUAACACGUGGGAACGUGCCUUUAGGUUCGGAAUAACUCAGGGAAACUUGUGCUAAUACCGAAUGUGCCCUUCGGGGGAAAGAUUAAUCGCCUUUAGAGCGGCCCGCGUCUGAUUAGCUAGUUGGUUGAGGUAAUGGCUCACCAAGGCGACGAUCAGUAGCUGGUCUGAGAGGAUGAUCAGCCACAUUGGGACUGAGACACGGCCCAAACUCCUACGGGAGGCAGCAGUGGCGAAUCUUGCGCAAUGGGCGAAAGCCUGACGCAGCCAUGCCGCGUGAAUGAUGAAGGUCUUAGGAUUGUAAAAUUCUUUCACCGGGGACGAUAAUGACGGUACCCGGAGAAGAAGCCCCGGCUAACUUCGUG
rnacentral:rRNA from 1 species